GCCCUUAACGCGAAGAACCUUACCAGGUCUUGACAUCCGCUGACAAUCUUGGAGACAAGACGUUCCCUUCGGGGACAGCGUGACAGGUGGUGCAUGGUUGUCGUCAGCUCGUGUCGUGAGAUGUUGGGUUAAGUCCCGCAACGAGCGCAACCCUUGAUUCUAGUUGCCAGCAUUUAGUUGGGCACUCUAAGGUGACUGCCGGUGACAAACCGGAGGAAGGUGGGGAUGACGUCAAAUCAUCAUGCCCCUUAUGACCUGGGCUACACACGUGCUACAAUGGAUGGUACAAAGGGCAGCAAAGUCGCGAGGCUAAGCAAAUCCCAUAAAACCAUUCUCAGUUCGGAUUGCAGGCUGCAACUCGCCUGCAUGAAGCCGGAAUCGCUAGUAAUCGCGGAUCAGCAUGCCGCGGUGAAUACGUUCCCGGGCCUUGUACACACCGAAGGGCA
rnacentral:rRNA from 1 species